AACGAACGCUGGCGGCAGGCUUAACACAUGCGAGUCGAACGAGAUCUUCGGAUCUAGUGGCAGACGGGUGAGGAACACGUGGGAACAUCCCUUUCAGUUCGGAAUAACGUUGGGAAACUAACGCUAAUACCGGAUACGUCCUUCGGGAGAAAGAUUUAUCGCUGAAAGAUUGGCCCGCGUCUGAUUAGCUAGCUGGUGAGGUAACGGCUCACCAAGGCUACGAUCAGUAGCUGAUCUGAGAGGAUGAUCAGCCACAUUGGGACUGAGACACGGCCCAAACUCCUACGGGAGGCAGCAGUGGGGAAUAUUGGACAAUGGGCGCAAGCCUGAUCCAGCCAUGCCGCGUGAGUGAUGACGGCCUCGGGUUGUAAAGCUCUUUUGUCCGGGAGGAUAAUGACAGUACCGGAAGAAUAAGCCCCGGCAAACUUCGUGCCAGCCGCCGCAGUAA
rnacentral:rRNA from 1 species